UACGUAGGGGGCAAGCGUUGUCCGGAUUUAUUGGGCGUAAAGAGCGUGUAGGCGGUUUGGUAGGUCCGCUGUGAAAACUCGAGCUCAACCUCGAGACGCCGGUGGAAACCAUCAGACUAGAGUCCGGAAGAGGAGAGUGGAAUUCCUGGUGUAGCGGUGAAAUGCGUAGAUAUCUGGAAGAACACCAAUGGCGAAGGCAAUGUUCUGGCUCGUUUCUGACGCUCAGGUGCGAAAGCCAGGGGAGCGAACGGG
rnacentral:rRNA from 1 species